rnacentral:rRNA from 1 species
GACGAACGCUGGCGGCGUGCUUAACACAUGCAAGUCGAACGAAGUGGCGCACGGGUGAGUAAUAUAUAGUUAAUCUGCCCUCCACAGAGGAACAACAGUUGGAAACGACUGCUAAUACCUCAUAGUGUAGGAUGAGACUAUAUCGUAUCAGCUAGUUGGUAAGGUAAUGGCUUACCAAGGCUAUGACGCGUAACUGUUCUGAGAGGAUGAUCAGUAAAAUUGGAACGGAGACACGGGCGAAACUCCGUCGGGAAGCAGCAGUAAGGGACACUGCGCAAGGGGGGAAAGCCUGACGCGGCAACGCCGCGUGGAGGAUGACACUUUUCGGAGCGUAAACUCCUUUUAUCAGGAAAGCGGUACCUGAUGAAUAAGCACCGGCUAACUCCGUGCCAGCAGCCGCGGUAAUAC